GCGGUCAUCGUCUAGUUUGGUUAGGACACUGGCCUUCCAAGCCCGUAACCCGGGUUCAAAUCCCGGUGACCGCA
rnacentral:tRNA from 6 species